rnacentral:rRNA from 1 species
CCUACGGGAGGCAGCAGUGGGGAAUAUUGCGCAAUGGGCGAAAGCCUGACGCAGCGACGCCGCGUGAGGGAUGAAGGUCUUCGGAUCGUAAACCUCUGUCAGCAGGGAAGAACGGUCACUGUGCUAAUCAGCAGUGAAUUGACGGUACCUGCAAAGGAAGCACCGGCUAACUCCGUGCCAGCAGCCGCGGUAAUACGGAGGGUGCGAGUGUUAAUCGGAAUUACUGGGCGUAAAGCGCUCGUAGGCGGUAGGUAAAGUCAAGGGUGAAAGCCCCGCGCUCAACGUGGGAACUGCCUUUGAAACUGGAAAAAUGGAGUGUGUGAGAGGAUAGUGGAAUUCCAGGUGUAGCAGUGAAAUCCGUAGAUAUCUGGAGGAACAUCGGUGGCGAAGGCGACUAUCUGGCACAUAACUGACGCUGAGGAACGAAAGCGUGGGUAGCAAACAGGAUUAGAUACCCUUGUAGUC